rnacentral:tRNA from 1 species
GCGGGAAUAGCUCAGCUGGUAGAGCGUCACGUUGCCAACGUGAAUGUCGCGAGUUCGAAUCUCGUUUCCCGCUCCA